GGCUUCCAGGUCCUUAAACAUUCUAUGACAGUUAGGAGGCCAUUCUGCCCACAGCACAUGGGAGCUUGUGGCACUACCCGUCGGUUUACCAGGGAGGAAGAUAAGGUGAGCUCUACACCCAACGUGGGGCUCAAACUCAGGACUGCGAGAUCAAGAGUCGCACGCUCUACCAGCUGAGCCUGCCAGUUGUCCUCAUUUUAACGAAGCCCUGUAGACACUCUCAUGGCCAACGCUACCACUCAGACUGCGGCCCCACCCCCAGGAACAUCAAAGCAUCCAAAGGAUUGAGAAGAUUGAGGCUUCCUUCGGGUAUAAAAAGCAAUCCUUUCCUGGAAGUAAGAAAGUAUUUUGAAGUCCUCUUACUCAAGUCAGAUCCAUAGAGCAGCAACCUCAGCAUCACCCAAGAGCCUGAAAUGCUGUCCCUGAGAACCCACUUGAAACCUACUGGAAUAAAAUCUGCAUUUUAACAAGAACCUCAGCUGAUUCCCAUGCACAUUAAAGUCUGAGAAGCAUGGUUCUGAAGUACAUCUGGCUUAUGAUUACUAGAAUCACAAGAAGGAAGUUGCCUGAAACUUCAAGACUGUCCUCCGGUGGCCAGGAGUUAAUGAAAUCACAAUCCCUUUACUAUAGUUGCGAGAAUCUGGGGACUUACUAAACUCCCCAGAAACCCCCUCCUGCUGCCUAAAUCACCUUUUCUUUUCCAGAACACGUAGGCUGAUUGUAAACUGAUACCUAAAAGCAUAGCAUAAUUCUAGAAGGAUUUUGCUUUAUACUCAAAAGACCAGCAUCAUAGGCCAUGCAUUCAUUCUAUAACCAGUAAGUGAAUAUCUACUUAGGUAAUUCACAAUAACUAACACUGUGCAAAGAGCCCAAAGUCUAGUAGAAGGAUAGAGAUUACAACACAGAGUUAUAGGUCUAACAGGGAAAGGUCAGCACAGGAAAGCAGGGUACGGAGUUGGGCACUGGUACACACUUGGAAAGCACCUGACCCAGAUCUGGAAUAUCAAAGCAGCUUCCUGUGCUGAGCUUUGAAAAACAAACAAACAAACAAACAAACAAAGAUGAACAUUUUUUCAAGAAGCAGCCCACCUGUAGGCAUAGCGAGUGUGGUGUUAGGUUAGGGCAAGUCCCUGUACCAGCAAUGAAAGAGUCAACUACCUUACUCAAAAAAAAAAAAUUGACUCUGGUUUUAUAGCUUUUGUUCAACUGCUUUGAAUAUUUGUAUGCAUGAGCUAUAAAUGUGGCAGCCUUAGGAAUAUUUUUUCCCUUUCAACUCUCCUACCUGUAGACAAGGAGGAAUGGCAAACAUCAAAUACAAGAAGCACUAACGCGGAAGUCUGCGGAACACUGCAAGGGGGCAGGGAUAACAGAACAGUGCCUCCACAUUUGCUAUUUGAUCACAGAGAGUGUCAACGAAACCGCAACCAGCAAUUUGGGGACCAUAAAGAGAAUUGCUUUAAACUGAAUACAAAAGUCAGUAAAAUGUCUUAGGUGAGGGACACUGGCUAUUUGGCAGGUGCACUGCUGGCAGCAAUCGAGGGUCUCAGUGUGACCACCGUGUGCACACCCCUCUCUUUGCCUGUCUCUUCUCCCUGCAUUUAAAUAGUUCUUAUCCGGGGCGCCUGGGUGGCGCAGUCGGUUAAGCGUCCGACUUCAGCCAGGUCACGAUCUCGCGGUCCGUGAGUUCGAGCCCCGCGUCAGGCUCUGGGCU